GUAAAAUUAAACAAUCUUUUAGAUUACUAAAUAGAAAAGUCAUGCUUGCAGUUUAGUGUAGGUAGUUUGCCAAUCUUAUGUAUGUUGGAUAAAAGAAAUGUUUAGCCUAUGAAUUUUAUGGAUUGAAAUUUGAUCCUUUGUUAAAUAAAGUAGAAGCAUACAAUACUAUUUUGGUUUUCCAAUUUUCUUUGCAUACAUUUAUCCCAUGUGUAAUUUAAUAGUGGCAGAUGAUGG
rnacentral:misc_RNA from 1 species